AAAUUUUUGAAUUUUAUUUGCGCUUGUGAAAAUUUACCUCUGCAAGGGGAACUGGAUGAGGAGGAUUCGAUUCCCACGGAGCCAAUUGAAGGAAAACUGCGAAAAAUUAUGUGGGAGCUGCGGAUUCGUGAAAAAUUAAGCAACGUCUCUUCCAAUCUUUGGAUGGUUGUAAGAAUUCGAUUCCGUCAUCAUGAUGAAGGUCCAACUUUGUGUAUUCCCACAAGCAGCCAAAUAGGGACAAUGAAAGAUACGCAA